UACGAAGGGGGCUAGCGUUGCUCGGAAUCACUGGGCGUAAAGGGCGCGUAGGCGGUCUGUCACGUCGGCCGUGAAAUCCCGAGGCUCAACCUCGGGUCUGCAGUCGAUACGGGCAAACUAGAGUAUUGCAGGGGAGACUGGAAUUCCUGGUGUAGCGGUGAAAUGCGCAGAUAUCGGAAGGAACAUCAGUGGCGAAAGCGGCUUCCUGGACCAGCACCGACGUCAGGCACGAAAGCGUGGGGAGCAAACAGG
rnacentral:rRNA from 1 species